rnacentral:rRNA from 1 species
UACGAAGGGGGCUAGCGUUGCUCGGAAUUACUGGGCGUAAAGGGCGCGUAGGCGGACAUUUAAGUCAGGGGUGAAAUCCCGAGGCUCAACCUCGGAACUGCCUUUGAUACUGGGUGUCUUGAGUGUGAGAGAGGUACGUGGAACUCCGAGUGUAGAGGUGAAAUUCGUAGAUAUUCGGAAGAACACCAGUGGCGAAGGCGACAUACUGGCUCAUUACUGACGCUGAGGCGCGAAAGCGUGGGGAGCAAAC